AUACGGAGGGUGCGAGCGUUAAUCGGAAUUACUGGGCGUAAAGGGUGCGUAGGCGGCUUGAUAAGUCGGAUGUGAAAGCCCCGGGCUUAACCUGGGAAUUGCAUUCGAUACUGUCAGGCUAGAGUAUGUCAGAGGUUGGCGGAAUUCCUGGCGUAGCGGUGAAAUGCGUAGAUAUCAGGAGGAACACCAGUGGCGAAGGCGGCUAACUGGGACAAUACUGACGCUGAGGCACGAAAGCGUGGGGAGCAAACAGGAUUAGAAACCCUAGUAGUCC
rnacentral:rRNA from 1 species